rnacentral:rRNA from 1 species
UACGAAGGGUGCAAGCGUUACUCGGAAUUACUGGGCGUAAAGCGUGCGUAGGCGGUUUGUUAAGUCCGUUGUGAAAGCCCUGGGCUCAACCUGGGAAUUGCAGUGGAUACUGGCGAGCUAGAGUGCGGUAGAGGAUGGUGGAAUUCCCGGUGUAGCGGUGAAAUGCGUAGAGAUCGGGAGGAACACCGGUGGCGAAGGCGGCGACCUGGGUGGAUACUGACGCUGAGGUGCGAAAGCGUGGGGAGCAAACAGG